rnacentral:lncRNA from 1 species
CAGGUAUUAACCGAGGUCUGGAACGGGUGCGUGCGCAAUAAUAGGGUCAUUUCAUCUUUAAGAACACAUUGUUACCAACAGAGACAUUAACACAAUUGAAAAUCCUUUUCUAAAAUGUGCAACGUACAACAAACGUAUUAAAAGUGAAUAGGUAACAGGGUAUUAACAGAGCGCUGGAACUGGUGCAUGCGCGCUAAUAGGGUCAUUUCAUCUCUUAGAAAACAUUAUUACCACCAGAGAUAUGAACUUAAUUGAAAAUCCUUUUCUAAAAGGUUCUACGUACAACAAACGUAUUAUAAGUGAAUAGGUAACAGGGUAUUAACCGAGCGCUGGAACGGGUACAUGCGCGCUAAUAGGGUAAUUUCAUUUUUUAAAACACAUUGUUACCAUCAAAGACACGGACACAAUUGAAAAUCCUUUUCUAAAAGGUGCAACGUACAACAAACGCAUUAUCAGUGAAUAGGUAACGAAUAGGUAACAGGUUAAUUACCGAGCGCUGGAACGGGUACAUGCGCGCUAAUAGGGUCAUUUCAUCUCUAAGAACACAUUGUUACACCAAGAGACAUGGGCACAAUUGAAUUUUUUUUUAAAAGG